rnacentral:rRNA from 1 species
UACGUAGGGGGCAAGCGUUGUCCGGAAUCAUUGGGCGUAAAGAGCGCGUAGGCGGCCCUGUAAGUCCGCUGUGAAAGUCAAGGGCUCAACCCUUGGAUGCCGGUGGAUACUGCAGGGCUAGAGUCCGGAAGAGGCGAGUGGAAUUCCUGGUGUAGCGGUGAAAUGCGCAGAUAUCAGGAGGAACACCAGUGGCGAAGGCGGCUCGCUGGCUCGAUACUGACGCUGAGGUGCGAAAGCGUGGGGAGCAAACAGG